AUCUUAUCAUGAGAAGUUGAGGGAUUUGGCCCGUUGACGCUUCAGCAACCUCUAACGAAAGUUAGAAAGGUGCUAAUUCCAGCAAAGGAUUUGUCCUUUGAGAGAUAAGAG
rnacentral:ncRNA from 1 species